rnacentral:rRNA from 1 species
GCCUAAAAAUACGUUCAUCAGAUACCACAAAAGGUGUUGAUUCAUCUUGACAGUUGGACAGUGGCCAUGGAAGUCGGAAUCUGCUAAGGAGUGUGUAACAACUCACCAACCGAAUGAAUUAGCCCUGAAAAUGGAUGGCGCUUAAAACGUAUUACUUAUACUUUACCAUUAGAAUAAAUGCUAAAUUCUAAUGAGUAGGAGGGCGUAUGGAUAAUUUAGAAGACUGGCAGUAAUGCUGGUUGGAAUUAUCUUUAGUGCAGAUCUUGGUGGUAGUAGCAAAUAUUCAAUAGAGAACAUUGAAGACUGAAGUGGAGAAAGGUUUCACAUGAACAACACUUGGAUGUGAGUUAGUCGAUCCUAAACGGUGGGUUAACUCCAAAUUACAUAGAUACUUGUAUCUUGUACCGUGAAAGGGAAACAGGUUAAUAUUCCUGUACUAUAUCAAGGAGGUAAAGUGGUAACACAACUGAACUCAAAUACAUCAGUAGAAUAACCAGGAAGAGUUCUCUUUUC